AGUGAACGCUGGCGGUAGGCCUAACACAUGCAAGUCGAACGGCAGCACAGUAAGAGCUUGCUCUUACGGGUGGCGAGUGGCGGACGGGUGAGGAAUACAUCGGAAUCUACUUUUUCGUGGGGGAUAACGUAGGGAAACUUACGCUAAUACCGCAUACGACCUACGGGUGAAAGCAGGGGAUCUUCGGACCUUGCGCGAUUGAAUGAGCCGAUGUCGGAUUAGCUAGUUGGCGGGGUAAAGGCCCACCAAGGCGACGAUCCGUAGCUGGUCUGAGAGGAUGAUCAGCCACACUGGAUCUGAGACACGGUCCAGACUCCUACGGGAGGCAGCAGUGGGGAAUAUUGGACAAUGGGCGCAAGCCUGAUCCAGCCAUACCGCGUGGGUGAAGAAGGCCUUCGGGUUGUAAAGCCCUUUUGUUGGGAAAGAAAAGCAGCAGGUUAAUACCCCGCUGUUCUGACGGUACCCAAAGAAUAAGCACCGGCUAACUUCGUGC
rnacentral:rRNA from 1 species